AGUAGCGCCAGCAGGUAGCUCUUGUGUUUCUGAAAUGGUCUAACUACUUUGAUUAAAGUAGGAAACUAGCAACAAUAAACAAGGAGAAAUUCGUGAAAGAGAAGUUAUCCAACGUCGUGGAGCUGCCGACCCCGUCCAAACGGCGUGUGAAUUGAAUAUUCCGGCUGUUUUUUUGGUGAGACUCUACUGGGAGACAGAACUGUGCUGCUCAAGUCACCGCCGUCAUACUGCCUCCUGGGUUUCAUCUUCAUCACCACCAUCUUCUUACCGCUCACUAGACCUUCGCCAUCAUCAUCUCCACGACUCACAGGACUUUCACGUCGUUUCCUUACUCUAUUCUCUGAGGAGCCAGGAUGGACAGUUUUACCUGCUAAGGGUGGUGGUAGGAACUUGAGUGCACUCAAACUAAUGAAACAGGGUUGAACAAACAGACUGAUUUAGUAUUCCCCUGGUUAUCUCUAUGAAAUAAGAGAUCUCAGUUUUUGGUUAAUUUGGUUUUAUAUUUUUAUUUUCUUUGUCAGGUUUUUGAUAUUUAAGUUGUGGUUUGAAUACAUUGGGUUUGAACCUAAUUGGCCUAUCUACCAAACUGAUUUUGAUUACCAUACUGAAUCAUUUAGUUUAGCCAUGCUAGACUUCUGGUAAAAGAUUAUUUUGCAUAAUCUCAAGUUUUAAAGUAGUACUGGUCGUGGGUGCAAUUUGUUUCAUGCCCAAGCUACGACUUAAAUGAAGACAGGAAAAAAAUAACCCUACAGUUAAGUCAAGUUACUCUGAGUCACUAUCUUAUUAUGUUUGUAACUUGAAUCUUGAAAGCUCUUUUUAAAUACCUAGUUGUUUAAAUAAAGUUGCCCCCCAAAAAUAAUUAUCACCAGCCGACACUGGAUUUGAAGGCAUUUAUAUGAUAUACAAUGGAUUACAUUUGUUCCAAAAAAAGGGGGUAUUUCUUGAGAACAAUUUGAACUUAAGCAAGAGGAAGGACUUGUUGAGGUUAACUGAUGAUUGGCUUAGGUGUUAGUUUAGGUUAUCCAUUAACAAAAGAUAGAGAUUUAAGCAAGAGGAAGGACUUGUUGAGGUUAACUGAUGAUUGGCUUAGGUGUUAGUUUAGGUUAUCCAUUAACAAAAGAUAGAGAUUUAUGUUGAAAAAAAGAGUUUGCGGGAGUAGUACAAUGUUUGUGAUGUUGUGUUGAAAAAUGUAGAUUCAACACGUUUACCCAGUGAUGAGUUCAGAUGAAAUAUAGUUUUUUGUAAAGAGUACAUUGAAGCUGUCUGUAUUGCUGUAUGUUUUGUAUUUAUUAGUAUUUCUAUUAACUUGUAACCCUUGUCCUAAAGGAUGAUGACUGAAGUUUUCUACACCUAAUAUUUCUGCUGACUUUAAAGUUAAACAACUAAACGAUGGACUUUAUAUAAAGAAACUGGAAAUGUA